rnacentral:rRNA from 1 species
GAAAACAUUUCCUCCUGGUUUAGGAGGUAAGGCCUGCUCACUGAAGAUUUAAAGAGCCGCAGUAUAUUGACUGUGCUAAGGUAGCAUAAUCAUUAGUCUUUUAAUUGGGGACUGGUAUGAAUGGCUUAACGAGAAAUUAACUUUUUUUGUUAUAUUUAUUGAACUUAAUUUUUUAGUGAAAAAGCUCAAAUUUUUCAGAAAGACGAGAAGACCCUAUAGAGUUUUAUACUUAUUUAUAUUUUUUAUUAUUAGAUUUUUAAAGAAUUAGUAUAAUGAAGUGUUUUGUUGGGGCGACAUUAAGAUACAAAAAACUCUUAUUUUUUAAAAUUUUUUUAGAAAUAUGUAUUGAUCCUUUAAAAAAGAUCAUAAGAAAAAAUUACCUUAGGGAUAACAGCGUAAUCUUUUUUGAGAGUUCUAAUCGACAAAAAGGUUUGCGACCUCGAUGUUGGACUAAAAUUUAUACAAGGUGUAGCCGCUUUGUUUUAAGGUCUGUUCGACCUAUAAUA